rnacentral:tRNA from 1 species
GGGGUUGUGGCUCAGUGGUGGAGUGCUUGCCUAGCAUGCGCAAGGCGCUGGGUUCAAUCCUCAGCACCCCA